GUUGUCCGACUCUGUUGCCUCCGGGGCGACCCUGCCUUCGGGCGGGGGCUCCGGGUGGACACUUCAAACUCUUGCGUAACUUUGCAGUCUGAGUAAACUUAAUUAAUAAAUUAAAACUUUUAACAACGGAUCUCUUGGUUCUGGCAUCGAUGAAGAACGCAGCGAAAUGCGAUAAGUAAUGUGAAUUGCAGAAUUCAGUGAAUCAUCGAAUCUUUGAACGCACAUUGCGCCCCCUGGUAUUCCGGGGGGCAUGCCUGUUCGAGCGUCAUUUCACCACUCAAGCCUCGCUUGGUAUUGGGCAACGCGGUCCGCCGCGUGCCUCAAAUCGACCGGCUGGGUCUUCUGUCCCCUAAGCGUUGUGGAAACUAUUCGCUAAAGGGUGCUCGGGAGGCUACGCCGUAAAACAACCCCAUUUCUAAGGUUGACCUCGGAUCAGGUAGGGAUACCCGCUGAACUUAAGCAUAUCAUA
rnacentral:rRNA from 1 species